AGUUCAGUGGUUAUUUGGACGGCUUUGUAACGCAUGGAAGGAGGUUGUAAUCCUUGUUCUGUGCGAUUUGAUGGGUUUUUGUAUUUUUGCGUGUAGGAAUUGAAUGUAUCCAAUUUAAAAGUUGAUGCAAAGAGGACGCCGUGUUAAAUAUUUGUCGUAUCUGUUUGUCUGUCUGUGCCGUUGUACCUCUCAAACAUAUGAAUUGAUUUUGAUUUUUGUAAGCUAAAUUAGUCGGCAGUGGUCAGACACAUUUAUUUCAUGGAAGUGUAAUAUAAGGGUUUACUAAAACGAUUCCGGAAAUUCAUUACCAGUAGACAGCCACGUUAUUUCUAAAAGUCAUUCACACAUAACUACCUUAUUUGUCCAAUUAUGACAACUACUUUAGGAGUUAUGAAGGAACAGACACUGACACAUAUACAUACAGUUCAAAAUCAUAACCCUCUUUUAUGUUUUACCAUAGUCGGGUAAAAUAUUCCGCGAAGGGGGCAAAGUUAGCUAGUAUACAACCAUACAAAGAGAUAUUAAUAUGUAUAUAUGUAGCCAACUCAUAAACAUUUUAUCUCUAAAUACAUGAUUUAAAAGACACUACAAUUGAUUUCACAGUUGGCAUCACCGAUUAGAAAAUAAAUUGAUUUUUAAAUAAGAUUCCAUAUGUCUGUCACUUUAAGUUAAGACGUAUACUGUCAAAAAUGAUUAAUUUUAAUCUGUGCAUAAGUCUAUUUUUGUUAUGUUUUCUCAUCAACAACUGCAAAUCGAGAAACUACACGCGAAUAGCAAAGCUUAGGAAACCUCGCAUUCAGCCACAACUAGCUGCACCGGCACGUCAUCAGAAAAACAAUCAACAAUUCAACGUGACCAAAUUUCUCAAUGAGAUACUUACCAAAGCACAGCUAGAAGAAAGAGAAGAAUUAAGAAAAAAAACUACAACAGAACCGCCAAUUUCCGAAGCGUCCUAUGAACCACAGGAGGCGGGUCAGCCGCUGUCAAACCUACCAAAUAUACUUCGAGAAAAUUCUCCGGUUAUGAGGCAAGACACUAGGGAUGAAUUAAUGUACGAUUUAGAAGAAGAUCCUAUUCUGCGGAUUAGUUUGAAAUAAAUAAAUGUUGGGAACGUGUUUUUA